rnacentral:rRNA from 1 species
GACGAACGCUGGCGGCGUGCUUAACACAUGCAAGUCGAACGGAAAGGCCCUGCUUUUGUGGGGUGCUCGAGUGGCGAACGGGUGAGUAACACGUGAGUAACCUGCCCUUGACUUUGGGAUAACUUCAGGAAACUGGGGCUAAUACCGGAUAGGAGCUCCUGCUGCAUGGUGGGGGUUGGAAAGUUUCGGCGGUUGGGGAUGGACUCGCGGCUUAUCAGCUUGUUGGUGGGGUAGUGGCUUACCAAGGCUUUGACGGGUAGCCGGCCUGAGAGGGUGACCGGCCACAUUGGGACUGAGAUACGGCCCAGACUCCUACGGGAGGCAGCAGGGGGGAAUAUUGCACAAUGGGCGGAAGCCUGAUGCAGCAACGCCGCGGGCGGGAUGACGGCCUUUGGGUUUUAAACCGCUUUCGCCUGGGACGAAGCGGGAGGGACGGUAAUGGGUAAAGAAGCACCCGCCUACUACGUG